GUUAUUAACUUGCAAACUGUUGAUGUAAAGGGUUGGGGUGGAAUACUUUGCUUCUGUAAUUAGAACUGGUUUCCUUUUCCUGCAAAUUUGGGGACUCUCCUGUUAUUAAUGAAGACUGAGCGUAUGAACCUUUUUUUUUUUUUUAACUUAGAUUAAAACGCUAUUUAGAAAAGGCCCGCAAGUUUGAAGUCACCUCUGGUUCAUACAUUAAACAUCAGAUGUACAUUAACUGUGAAUUAUGGUCAUGAAAAGUAAAUCCUUUAAUGCCGUUUUCUGU
rnacentral:lncRNA from 1 species